rnacentral:rRNA from 1 species
UGACCGCGUAUGAAAGUACGUUUCACCCUCGGGUGGACGAGGGAGACAGGUGGUGCAUGGUUGUCGUCAGCUCGUGCCGUGAGAUGUUGGGUUAAGUCCCGCAACGAGCGCAACCCCUACGUUUAGUUGCUAACGCGUGAAGGCGAGCACUCUAGACGAACUGCCGUUGACAAAACGGAGGAAGGUGGGAUGACGUCAAAUCAUCAUGCCCCUUAUGUUCUGGGCUACACACGUGCUACAAUGGCCGGUACAGACGGACGCAAAGCCGCGAGGUGGAGCAAAUCCUAAAAAGCCGGUCUCAGUUCGGAUUGCAGGCUGCAAUUCGCCUGCAUGAAGUCGGAAUCGCUAGUAAUCGCAGGUCAGCAUACUGCGGUGAAUACGUUCCCGGGCCUU